rnacentral:rRNA from 1 species
CCUACGGGAGGCAGCAGUCGGGAAUUUUGCGCAAUGGACGAAAGUCUGACGCAGCAACGCCGCGUGAGGGAUGAAGGCCUUCGGGUUGUAAACCUCUUUUAUCAGGGAAGAUAAUGACGGUACCCUGAGAAUAAGCCACGGC